UUUUUUUUUUUUUUUACACAAGAUUUUACAUAAGGAAAAUGCGCCCUAAUUAACUACACAAUACAGAAUUUUCAAUUUUUCUUUUUUUUUUGUGUUUGUCGCCUUAUGAAUGUUUUUGUAUUUUAAUAUUAAUUUUAUUUUAAGCUCUCGACGUGUUGAUGUGUAACGAUAUGUUAGUGUAGGUGUCUGUGAUUGUUUGUAAAACGUGUUUUUUGUGGUUGAAUAUAUUAACUGCAUACACAUGUACUCGUAAAUUGUGUGCAAAAAGAAAACUUUUUAGUAAAGUUAAACGUGUGAAAUAAGUCCUUUGACGUUGUCGUAGCAGAGCAAAUAGGAAAACCAAUAUUGAAAACUGUAAUUUCCAUAUUGUUUUCAAAGAAGAAGUGAAAAAACUGACAUGUAAAAUUAUGCAAGAAUAAUGCAAUUUAUGAAAAGAAAGCAAGAGAAAUAUGUUACAACAACAUGAUGAGAAAAAACAAUUGAAAAACGAAGUAAAACAAAGUACGUGUAAAAAAUUUGUUGAAAAAGACAUAGAAGAAGAGGGAGAGAAAAGUGCGUUAAUUAUUAAAUUUGAGUAAAAGCUGAAGGGCCGCCCGUCAUUAACAUCAGCUGUUAGGUUGAAAGUCAAGGACACUAAAACGUUUUCUUUGUCUCUAAUAAUUAUGCCUGCCUUUAAUGUUAACGAUGGCGUUUACAACAACUUGAUUAUAAUGAUGAUGCUGCUGAUGACUGUAAUAACGAUAAUGACGACAACCAUUACAGUAACAACUUAAUGCAAGUUGGCUUUAAUGUACGAUUAGAUAGCAUCAUUCACAAUAGCACUUAAACGACGACGGAUGAUAGAGAAAGAUUCUUUUUAAAGAAAAUAAUAAUAAAAAAAAAAAAAAAAAUUAAAAUAAACAGUGGAAUUUAAAAAAAAAAAGAAUAGAAAACGCAAAUAAUUGUGCUGUCAAUCGGCUGUCUAAUGGUUUGAAAGGUACACCAAGCUGCAGUCAAUCUUUUCGCUGAUACACUGAAAACGAAAAUAAUAAUUCCAACGUCAUGCCUGAACAGGAUAAUUAUGAUGAUGAGCUGGUUUCCGGUAAUACAAAUCAACGCAAUUGGCGUGGCAUACUUAUUGCUUUACUGGUCAUAACCAUAGUUUUGGCAUUGAUUGUUACGUCCGUGGUACUGCUCACACCCCCCGAUGAGGGACCGAGAGUAAAAGGACAACGCAUUAAAUUACAAGAAAUAGUUGAUGGUCUGUUUAUGCCACAAAAAUCGAAUGGCACUUGGAUAAAUGACGAAGAAUUUUUAUACCAAGAUCGUUGGGGACGCAUUUGUCUUUUAAAUGUUGCCAAUCUAACUGAACGUGUCUUAAUGUCUAAUGUUACAUUUAAAACUUUAUCGUCACAUACAUUUUCCAUAUCAGCGGAUAAGCGUUAUUUACUAUUAUCGCACAAUGUCAACCGACUUUUUCGUCAUUCUUUUUUGGCUCAAUACAUUCUGUUUGACAUUCAAACAAGCGAAAGUAUUAAAUUGAAAAUCGAUGCCAGAAACGAUGAAUGGCCCUAUUUGCAUUAUGCUCGAUUCACACCCUAUAGCAAUGCACUUAUUCUCGUUUACAAUUACGACAUUUACUACUGCCAAGGAGCGCGUAGCCAACAAGUGCAUCGUAUAACACGUGAUGCUAUACCCGGUAUUAUCUAUAAUGGCAUUCCUGAUUGGUUGUAUGAAGAGGAAAUACUCAAUUCGAAUAAUGCUAUUUGGAUGUCACAUUAUGGCCAUAUGAUGUUAUACGCAUCAUUUAAUGAUUCACUAGUGCAAGAACAACAUUUUGCUUGGUAUGGUACAACGGGUGAUGGCGAUAGUGGGGUCGGUCUUUUCGGUCUUGGUGUUGGCACAAUCUCUUCCACCCUAUCAGGUACAUCAGGUCAUACGGACGCAUAUUUGUAUCCGGAAAUAAGGUCAUUAAGAUAUCCUAAACCGGGUACACAAAAUCCUUUUGUGACCGUACGCGUGGCAAAUUUAAGCGAUGCGAAUAAUAUACGCUCGAGAGAUUUGCAGCCACCACAUGUGCUUCUAAACGAAGAUUAUUAUUUUACAAGCGCCAGUUGGAUUAGCGAAACCGAUGUGUGCGUGGUUUGGUUAAACCGCCCGCAAAACUUAUCUGUGGUUAGCAUUUGCAAGAGUCCGAUGUUCAUUUGCGUUGAGACUCAUCGCGUGAGUGGUGAUGGUCGGGGUUGGGUUGACACCGUUUCGGUGCCUUUAUUUGCUGCCAAUGGCACUUCCUACAUAGCCAUAUCACCAUUACGUGAUGGCAGUUCCGGUUACUUCCGUCACAUUGUUCAUGUUCAUGUGGCUAAAAAGCGUGUACUCCCUUUAACCCAUGGACAAUAUGAGGUGAAAACUCUGUUACACUGGGAUCAACAAAACAAUUGGAUUUAUUUUCUUGGCAUACCGGAACGUAUGCCCGCCCAGCAACAUUUGUAUCGGGUUUCCGCUCUUCCACCACGCCACGGAUCACCUUUGUAUGCUCCUGAUUGUCUAACUUGUCCGCGGCAUCGGAAUAAUGACGGCAGUUACAGCUACGAGGCGUAUACCAAGCCACCGCCUAAACUGGUAACAGCGUGGGAUGACGAUUGGGAGAAUUCGGAAGAAGUAUCCAUCAUGCCAGAACCAUCAUUGCCGGUCGAGCAAAAACAUCAUAAAACGACUAAAACGUCUGCUCAAUUGCCAAAUGAAUGUCUAUAUCAUACGGCCCAAUUUCCGCCUUCAGCAAACGCCAAGUUUGUGCUAAUCAAUUGUUUAGGUCCAACAAUUCCUAUCACAAAUAUCUAUAAAUUGCACAAUGACUUAUCAGAACAAUUUGCUAAUAGCAACGGAUUACAUAUGAAACCCAUGGAUUUGUUGAUUACCAUACAAAAUAAUACACGAUUACGAGAAAAGAUGUCGCGUAUAGCAAUGCCUCAAAUUAAAACAUUUCCGGUAAUGAUUUCGGGCGGUUAUCAUGCUCAAGUACGUUUGUAUUUACCACCCGUACUACGAGAGGACGAAAUUACUCGCUACCCGACAAUAUUACACGUGUAUUCGGGACCAGGUACGCAAUUGGUUACCGAUAGAUGGCAUGUUGAUUGGAAUACAUAUUUAGCGGGUUCUAAGGACUACAUAGUUAUUGAAAUUGAUGGAAGAGGUUCAGCUGGUCAGGGCUAUCAGCUGUUGCAUGAAAUCUAUAAACGUUUAGGUUCGGUAGAGGUUUCGGAUCAGUUGGAAGUUAGUGAAUACCUAAGAGAUAAUUUGCAUUUUAUUGAUGGACGUCGUAUGGGUGUCUGGGGCUGGUCUUAUGGUGGUUAUGCGGCAAUCUUGGCCUUAGCAGGUGCUCAAUCAAUAUUUCAAUGCGGUAUAAGUGUUAGUCCCGUAACAAAUUGGAAACUCUACGAUUCUGCCUACACAGAACGUUAUCUAAGUUUUCCCAAUGUUACCGACAAUUAUAAGGGCUACGAGGAGGGGGACCUUACAAAAUAUGUUGAAAAUCUGCGGGAUCGUCAAUUUCUUCUAAUCCAUGGUACAGCGGAUGAUAAUGUUCAUGUUCAGCAAUCUAUGGUUUUGGCCAGGGCUUUAACGGCGAAAGGUGUUCUCUAUAAGCAGCAAAUAUAUCCAGACGAAGGUCAUACUUUGUCCGGUGUUAAACGUCAUCUUUAUCGCUCAAUGACAUCUUUCUUUGAUGAUUGUUUCAAAAAACUGAUUUAAGCUGAAUUCAACUCCGCGUAAGUGGCAUCUUCUCUAAAAUUACCGGACGACAAAAUGGAAAUAAAACUGCCAAGACAUGAAUAACGCAUAUUUACUAGGUCAAGCCAUGGGGAAUGGCGAAUGAAUUCCACAAAAUAAUAUUGGAUGCUUCUUGACCGAAAGAGCCCGAACUAGACAACGCGAUGGACAUUCGGAAGACAGCAGUGUGACAACAGCUAUUUCAGUCGAGCGCAGAAAAUCAAAUAGUUACAAGUUCGGAUAGAUUCCUAGGGUAUAAAGACUUGAUUUUAUCAAUUGAGUAUAGCCCUCAGAGUUCCGGGCACAUCUUUGCCUUUUUCCCGAAAUAUACUUCUGGUUCGGAGACAUGGCGUCGAUCCUAAGGAAUGCCUUUGUAAAUUUUCUGCACAAAUUUUGCUUUCAAUUAAUGUACGACACUCUCUACGAUUGGUGAAUCUGCGAGAAGGAAAGUAACUGCAGACGAUUUGUCGGAAUUUCGGUACCUCCUGAAACGAAAGCCGGUCUGGGUAAUGGCGGUGGUAAUCAGCAGUAAAAAAUUUCUAGUUAUAUAUAUAUAUAGAUAUAUAUAUAUAUAUAUAUAUAUAUAUAUGUAUACACAAACAAUAGUAGGAAAUAGAGCAGAAUGCCGCUAUCAAUAACAUAAUCAAAUGAAAAUCAAAUUUUAACCAACAAAGCAAAUUAAAUUUUAAAACUGAAUUCAAGUUUCAAAUAGUUUCGCCAUCAAAAAACAAUGGGAAAUGAAAAGCAUAUGUAACAAAAAAAAAAAAAAGGCAACAAAAAGAAAAAAUAUGGUUGUGAAUAACUAAGCAGCACCUAAAAGUAUGCAACGCAUUAAUUAAACAUUAAACCCCUAAAGAGUAUUAUGCGGGUCACAAAUAGCUAGUACGCGGAAAACCGAAAGAUAACCGAAGGAUGGCGGCAUACUCACUUUAUCAAAACGUUUGCAACAUCCAGAAGGAAACUUCAGAGACCACAUAAAGCAUUGAAUUCUGAAUCGAUCUACGCGUGUCCUGUUGCAAAAAUUAAGAUAUCGUUUUUAAAUUUUCUCAUCAAAUUUCCAAGUUUUUGCAGUGAAAAUCGGCCAAAAUCGGUCAAAAAACUUGCCUGCGAUACUGAGAAUAUCUCUGUUUCGCUUUUUUGUGCCCCUCACUCAUAAUUUAUAACAAAUACAAUGAUGAACAUUUUGACAAUAUAUUCAAGGUAGCAAAAAAUUAAAAAAAUCGGCCACAUCUACUAUAUAUAUGCUAAGGGCUAUCGAAAAUUCAUUUUUUUUUUUUACUUUUUUUCAAUACAAAAAGAUUGAAUAUAAUAUUUGCUACGGCAAACGAAACAAGCAAUAAUCGAAGGAAAGAAAGUUUUUACGCAGGCAAAUGCGGUUUGAAUAAAUUUAUUAAAUGAUUUGAUAGGAAGAAAAGCCGGAAAAUUUCUUGCAGUUAACACGAGGAAAUAAAUUGAUUGAAGUGUCAUAUAUUACAGUAAUAUUUUCGUAUUUCACAACAGCAAGAAAGAAGUCUACAUCACACAGAAAUAUUGUAAGCUUUCCAACUGUUUUGUUAUUGA